rnacentral:rRNA from 1 species
ACGUAGGAGGCUAGCGUUAUCCGGAUUUAUUGGGCGUAAAGCGCGUGCAGGCGGUCUAUCAAGUUGGAUGUGAAAGCUCCUGGCUUAACUGGGAGAGGUCGUUCAAAACUGAUAGUCUCGAGAAUGGUAGAGGGAGGUGGAAUUCCGGGUGUAGGGGGUAAAUGCCUUGAUAUCCGGAGGAACACCCGUGGCGAAAGCGGCCCCCCGGGACAUUUCCGACGGUAAGACGCGAAAGCUAGGGUAGCAAACGG